rnacentral:rRNA from 1 species
CGGGAUUUACAUCCUGAGUAACGUAGCUAACGCGUGAAGUCAGCCGCCUGGGGAGUACGGUCGCAAGAUUAAAACUCAAAGGAGUUGACGGGGACCCGCACAAGCGGUGGAUGAUGUGGAUUAAUUCGAUGCAACGCGAAAAACCUUACCUACCCUUGACAUGUCACUAACGAAGUAGAGAUACAUUAGGUGCUCGUAAGAGAAAGUGAACACAGGUGCUGCAUGGCUGUCGUCAGCUCGUGUCGUGAGAUGUUGGGUUAAGUCCCGCAACGAGCGCAACCCUUGUCUUUAGUUGCUACGCAAGAGCACUCUAAAGAGACUGCCGGUGACAAACCGGAGGUAGGUGGGGAUGACGUCAAGUCCUCAUGGCCCUUAUGGGUAGGGCUUCACACGUCAUACAAUGGUGCAUACAGAGGGUUGCCAACCCGCGAGGGGGAGCUAAUCUCAGAAAAUGCAUCGUAGUCCGGAUCGUAGUCUGCAACUCGACUACGUGAAGCUGGAAUCGCUAGUAAUCGCGGAUCAGAAUGUCGCGGUGAAUACGUUCCCGGGUCUUGUACACACCGCCCGUCAUACCAUGGGAGUGGGUUUUGCCAGAAGCCGU